rnacentral:sRNA from 1 species
UAUAUAAUUAUAUUUGUUUCGUAAGGUUACCAAUAAAAUAUAAUUGGUGAGAUGGUUAAGUAAGGGUCUUGUUUUUGCCGCAGGUUGUGAGUUCGAAUCGUAAGUUCGUCAAUUAUUUUUAAAAGAUGACAACGACGUCGUUUAAAGGUGGCUAACGGAGAUGUUAACAGACGUUAGAUAAUCAGUUAACGACUGUUAACGGUUAGUUUUUUUGGCCUGGUCAACGAAUGUUUAUAGUUUAAACGGUUGGUCAACGAUAUCUUUAUGUUUAAAAUGACCGCAUGUAAAGUUGAGAUAUAAAAUGGCUACAAUUUGAAAAUUGGAGUAUUAAACGACAUUUUUCCCGUUCCUAAUUAGUAAUUACCCUAAUAUAUGUUUACGCCAAAUUAUAGUAAUUUCAUGUAUGAAAUUAUCAAAACUAGUAAAUUAUAGAAAUAAUCUGCAGAUUUUAAACUCUUAACUAACCAUUUUCACACUUUAAUUUUCUCUCAUUUGCAUUUAACGUUAAAACCGGUUUAAGUUAACACUUUAAGUCAGAUCUUAAAUCGAUGCAAAAGAAAACGAUAAA